UGGGGAAUAUUGGACAAUGGGCGGAAGCCUGAUCCAGCCAUGCCGCGUGUGUGAAGAAGGCCUUUUGGUUGUAAAGCACUUUAAGCGAGGAGGAGGCUCUUCUAGUUAAUACCUAGGAUGAGUGGACGUUACUCGCAGAAUAAGCACCGGCUAACUCUGUGCCUGCAGCCGCGUUAAUACAGAGGGUGCGAGCGUUAAUCGGAUUUACUGGGCGUAAAGCGUGCGUAGGCGGCUGAUUAAGUCGGAUGUGAAAUCCCUGAGCUUAACUUAGGAAUUGCAUUCGAUACUGGUCAGCUAGAGUAUGGGAGAGGAUGGUAGAAUUCCAGGUGUAGCGGUGAAAUGCGUAGAGAUCUGGAGGAAUACCGAUGGCGAAGGCAGCCAUCUGGCCUAAUACUGACGCUGAGGUACGAAAGCAUGGGGAGCAAACAGG
rnacentral:rRNA from 1 species